CGACUCUCGGCAACGGAUAUCUCGGCUCUCGCAUCGAUGAAGAACGUAGCGAAAUGCGAUACUUGGUGUGAAUUGCAGAAUCCCGCGAACCAUCGAGUCUUUGAACGCAAGUUGCGCCCGAAGCCUUCUGGCCGAGGGCACGUCUGCCUGGGUGUCACG
rnacentral:rRNA from 2 species